UACGAAGGUCCCAAGCGUUAUCCGGAUUUAUUGGGCUUAAAGGGUGCGUAGGCGGGUUAUUAAGUCAGUGGUGAAAGCCUUCAGCUUAACUGAAGAACUGCCAUUGAUACUGAUGAUCUUGAGUAUGAUUGAGGUGGGCGGAAUGUGUCAUGUAGCGGUGAAAUGCUUAGAUAUGACACAGAACACCGAUUGCGAAGGCAGCUCACUAAGCCAUAACUGACGCUGAUGUACGAAAGCGUGGGGAGCAAACAGG
rnacentral:rRNA from 1 species